GCAAACUUGUCCACCCCCAACCCACCCGGACGGCCGGGCCGCCGCCUCCUCUGGGCCUCGUCUCCCCUUCAAGCCCCCGGCCUUGUGGGGAAGGGGGAAUCCUUGACGCAUUUUACAGACGGCACAUAGGGUCGGGGCAGUGCUUUAACCGGAGACCAGGAGCCUGACUCUUCCAGGGCUCUGUGAGACAGCCUGGUGCCUGGCGGGGGUGACACAGCCCCACUGUCUGCCCCGCGUUUACAGCCAGGAACCACACCUGAGCCAUUUCCAAGGGUGACAUGUGUCACAGAACUGUGGGGAAGGGGCUAUCCAGAGAUUCCCAGUAGGAGACACGGGGAGACCUGCAGGAAUGAUCUCUCGCAGCACCCAAGUCUGCACCCUGCUUCACUCACUCAGCAAUCUGUCCAGGAGCUCCUUCAAUGUCAAGACAUCCAGAAAGAUCUGUCUUCCUCCUUUUCCAGGCCCCUGUGCAGGAACCCCCUGCACCUGGUCCCCCGUGAUGGGUGCUCAGGUUUUGGCAGUUAUGAAUAGACGUGCUUUGGUUGUGUGAACAUAAAUAUUUCACUCCUUUGGGUGAAUACCAAGGAGCACCGUUGCUAGACUACAUGCAAGAAGAUGAGAAAGCUGUGAGGACACUCAGUCUUCCACGGGGUGGAUACUAACCAAAAUCACAAGCAGCUUGAGCUGGAAGGACCUGGGAGCCGGGAGAGAUGCCGGAGGAGUCCCGCGCGCUGCCUGUCACAGCUGUGUGACUUCGAGACAGGGCUCUGGCCCCCUGGGCCUCAGUGUCCUCCCCUGGAAAAUGGCUCAUUCAUUUCUCAGACGGGAUCUCGCUAUGUCACCGGGCGCCAUGGCUCAAGCCUGUAAUCCCAGCACUUUGGAAGUCCGAGGCGGGCGGAUCACGAGGCCAGGAGUUCA
rnacentral:lncRNA from 1 species